AGUCAUUGUUUAUUAGUCUGGGCAGGAAUCGGGCCAGUCUAUUGCUGAGAAGUUUAGCAUAUAUUUUUGCGUCGCAAUUGAGUAGGGAAAUGGGCCUGAAAUUGUUACACUCUGUGGGUGACUUCCCUGGCUUAGGCAACGUCGCAAUGUGGGCCAGCAGCAGUUCAUCUGGUAGUGUCACUUUCUGUGUGAUAUGGUUGAAAAGAUUUAGUAAAUGGGG